rnacentral:lncRNA from 1 species
CUGAGCGGGACUCGAACGUGAGGUUGGGGCGCCCUUGGCGUUCGCUCGCCUGGGUGUUGGCCGCUAGCGGGCCCGUCCCUUCUCACCCCUUGCUCGGGGAUGUCCUGGGGCAGCUGUCGAACCCGUGUUGGGCCAGCUUUCGAACCCCUGGACCGUAUUGGGCCGUAGGGGCGUUUUCAGCCCUGUAUCCCUUUCUUACCUCCCUAUGGGCCUUGGACCGGAGCGGAGCGGUUGAUGUGCCAGGGCCGAUCGUGGGGAGCGUCGUGGGCGCGAAGCCCGGGGAGUGGAGUUAUGGAAGCGCCGUCCCGCGGAUCGAGGAAGAUAGGAUGUUUCUCCGCGGCCGAUCGUGCGUGCGAUUUUCGAAAGGAAACGGGCGUGGCAGGGGCG